rnacentral:rRNA from 1 species
UUCCACACGUACCCAUCCCGAACACGACCGUUAAGCCCUCCAGCGCCGAUGGUACUUGGACCGAAGGGUCCUGGGAGAGUAGGACGUUGCCAAGC